rnacentral:rRNA from 1 species
AACGCGAAGAACCUUACCUGGGCUUGAACCGCCGGUGACCAGCGGUGGAAACAUCGCCUUCUCGCAAGAGACACCGGUAGAGGUGCUGCAUGGCUGUCGUCAGCUCGUGCCGUGAGGUGUUGGGUUAAGUCCCGCAACGAGCGCAACCCUUACUCUUAGUUGCCACCCGCAAGGGGGAACUCUAAGAGGACUGCUCCGGAUAACGGAGAGGAAGGUGGGGAUGACGUCAAGUCAGCACGGCCUUUAUGUCCAGGGCUACACACGUGUUACAAUGCACGGUACAAACCGUCGCGAACCCGCGAGGGGGAGCUAAUCGGAGAAAACCGUGCUCAGUUCGGAUUGCAGUCUGCAACUCGACUGCAUGAAGCCGGAAUCGCUAGUAAUGGCGUAUCAGAACGACGCCGUGAAUACGUUCCCGGGCCUUGUA